UACGUAGGGAGCAAGCGUUGUUCGGAUUUACUGGGCGUAAAGGGCGCGUAGGCGGCGUGUUAAGUCAGCUGUGAAAUCUCCAAGCUCAACUUGGAACGGCCAGCUGAUACUGAUGUGCUAGAGUGCAGAAGGGGCAAUCGGAAUUCUUGGUGUAGCGGUGAAAUGCGCAGAUAUCAGGAAGAACACCAAUGGCGAAGGCAGCUCUCUGGGACGGUACUGACGCUGAGACGCGAAAGCGUGGGGAGCGAACAGG
rnacentral:rRNA from 1 species